GACGAACGCUGGCGGCGUGCCUAAUACAUGCAAGUAGAACGCUGAGGAGAGGAGCUUGCUCUUCUUGGAUGAGUUGCGAACGGGUGAGUAACGCGUAGGUAACCUGCCUUGUAGCGGGGGAUAACUAUUGGAAACGAUAGCUAAUACCGCAUAACAAUGGAUGACCCAUGUCAUUUAUUUGAAAGGGGCAAAUGCUCCACUACAAGAUGGACCUGCGUUGUAUUAGCUAGUAGGUGAGGUAACGGCUCACCUAGGCGACGAUACAUAGCCGACCUGAGAGGGUGAUCGGCCACACUGGGACUGAGACACGGCCCAGACUCCUACGGGAGGCAGCAGUAGGGAAUCUUCGGCAAUGGGGGCAACCCUGACCGAGCAACGCCGCGUGAGUGAAGAAGGUUGUCGGAUCGUAAAGCUCUGUUGUAAGUCAAGAACGAGUGUGAGAGUGGAAAGUUCACACUGUGACGGUAGCUUACCAGAAAGGGACGGCUAACUACGUG
rnacentral:rRNA from 1 species